rnacentral:rRNA from 1 species
GAUGAACGCUGGCGGCGUGCCUAAUACAUGCAAGUCGAGCGAACAGAUGAGGAGCUUGCUCCUCUGACGUUAGCGGCGGACGGGUGAGUAACACGUGGAUAACCUACCUAUAAGACUGGGAUAACUUCGGGAAACCGGAGCUAAUACCGGAUAAUAUAUUGAACCGCAUGGUUCAAUAGUGAAAGACGGUUUUGCUGUCACUUAUAGAUGGAUCCGCGCCGCAUUAGCUAGUUGGUAAGGUAACGGCUUACCAAGGCAACGAUGCGUAGCCGACCUGAGAGGGUGAUCGGCCACACUGGAGCUGAGACACGGUCCAGACUCCUACGGGAGGCAGCAGUAGGGAAUCUUCCGCAAUGGGCGAAAGCUUGACGGAGCAACGCCGCGUGAGUGAUGAAGGUCUUCGGAUCGUAAAACUCUGUUAUUAGGGAAGAACAAAUGUGUAAGUAACUAUGCACGUCUUGACGGUACCUAAUCAGAAAGCCACGGCUAACUACGUG